rnacentral:piRNA from 1 species
CUGCCACUCGGCUUUCCUAUAUAU